rnacentral:tRNA from 1 species
UGCUGAUCAGGGGGAUUAAAGCCCCAUGAGUAAAUUUACAGUUUACCACCUAAUUCGGCCACCUGACC